rnacentral:rRNA from 1 species
AUGGCUACGCCUUCACGCAAAAAGCCGUCGUCGGGGCGGCGAGACCGCAUCAGCGGCCUUCCCGACGACGUGCUAGGCCACGUCCUCUCCUUCCUGCCAACCAAGGAAGCCGGCCGUGCGGCCAUGCUCGGCCGCCGGUGGCGCGACAUCUUCUGCAGCGUCCACACCAUCUCGUCCGAGGAGCGUGAGGGCCAGAGGGCCGACGACUGGGACACCUACUUCUAUGAGGUCCAGGAGAGGAGGAGCUGCAGCGCUGUGCUCCUCCACAGCAUCAGCGCCGCGCUCCUCCACCGCCGCCGGCGCCCCGGCCUCACGGUGCCGCUGCACAGCUUCCGCUUCGCCUUCGACAGCUACCAUGGGUGGGACAAGGUCGCCGUCGACCAGUGGCUCUUCGAGGUGCUGCGGCAGCGCACCCAAGACCAGGAGCUCCACCUUGACCUGCGGUUCUUCAUCGGCCCCAUCUGUGCACGUAGCAGCGUCAACGGCGACGAAGAAGAAGAAGAGUCGAACGACAAUGAGUCAUGGGGGCAUGUCCUUCCCAGAACGCUCUUCUCCUGUAGAGCCGUGCGCACGCUGUGCCUCAGCUAUUGCAAACUGAAUCUACCCGAGGUCGUCCACCUGCCAUUUCUCGAGACGCUGCGCCUGACCAGCAUACGAGGUGACUCCCAAGAAACCAUCCAAAAACUCGUCUGGAGCUGCCCCCGUCUUGCCGACCUGACGCUAGAGGCCAGCAACCGUCUCCAAAAACUCACCGUUCUCGACAAACGCCUCCGUAGGCUCGCCCUCCGGUGCUGCCACAACAUGACGCAAGUAAGCAUCGACGUGUCGGAGCUGAGAUGCCUAGAAUACAGCGGCUCCGUACCCUAG